rnacentral:lncRNA from 1 species
CAUUGAGGAAGCUCACGCAUCAAAUUGGAAUGCGGAGACUUAAGGACUUUCAGGGAUGACCAAAACAGGGGGAGUAAUACGUGCUGUACUCUUUUUCCUUCACCAUGGUUUUGUCCCAAUGGGUUUUCCUGGUAAGGUUUUAAUGAGGCAGCAUCCCCAAGCGUAUUACUGAGAUCCUUUGGCAUCUACACGGUUAUGUCAUCCAAGGGGGAGUGUUGUAAACCACAUAACGGAUGGACUCCAUAACCGUGGCCCAUGUCCAUGUUCUAGAAGGCCCAUGUCUAGCUUCUAGAAGACUCGCCCAACCGACCAAGGCCAAAGACGGUUUAUGUUAGUCUUAGUGGGCU